GGGGAAACAGUCAAUGCUGGCCUGACAGACCAUAUGAUUUCCCAGCUCUUUGAGGGUUCCUUCAAAAAGCAGGUCAAAUUUAUGAAAGUCAUCCAAGAGCUAAAGACAGACAUUUGCAACAGUGUUGUGGCUCCAGCUACAGUGUCUGAGUCAAGUUGUGCUCAAAGUCCACAAGUGUCACAAAGAUUUCCCAGUGUCUUUGUUGUGCCAAAAUUCCCCAAGAGCAUACAGACUAAAUUGGACAGUAAAGAACCAUGCCAUAAAACUGGAUUUUAUCGCACCAAAAUAGUUGGUGUCCUUCAAGAAACCAUGGCUCAGUACACAAUGUAUCCUUCAGGUGAAGUUAUGUGAAGGUUGCCAAGGCACUUGUUACCAAAUACCCUUUUUUGAAGGAUAUAGAAGGGAAUGGAUAUCACACCUGGCACAUGUCAUUGAAAAGGAAGUUCAAAACUGAACGUUCACCACUCGUGGAUGAAGAAGAAGUCAAACAAUUCAAAGCAAAAUUUGGUCAUCGCAAAGGCAAGUCCAAAGAGGCACCAACCCAGACUACGUGUGAAAGACGUGAAAUGAGAAAUGAGUCUGAAGAAGGUCCUAUUGGCGAAGAUGCUGUCUCAAUUGAUGCCCAUGUAAAAGUCUUGCAAAUGCAGUAUGAACGGACUCAACCAGAUAGAACCAUUGUGGAGGAAAAAAUGAGACGCACAUUUCUCUGGAGAAGAUGUGAGCUGCAACAAGACGGAAUGUCAGCUGUUGAGGCCAUCAGUAUCA